rnacentral:rRNA from 1 species
UACGUAGGGUGCAAGCGUUAAUCGGAAUUACUGGGCGUAAAGCGUGCGCAGGCGGUGAUGUAAGACCGAUGUGAAAUCCCCGGGCUUAACCUGGGAACUGCAUUGGUGACUGCAUUGCUAGAGUAUGGCAGAGGGGGGUGGAAUUCCACGUGUAGCAGUAAAAUGCGUAGAGAUGUGGAGGAACACCGAUGGCGAAGGCAGCCCCCCUGGGCCAAUACUGACGCUCAUGCACGAAAGCGUGGGGAGCAAACAGG